rnacentral:lncRNA from 1 species
UAAGAUGUACGCAGUCCAUACCUUUACCUCUAAAGAAGUAGAAAGGCUAUUUCCGAUAGACCCCCGGCUCAAGGCACGAGAUACCACACCAACACAUAGUAAAGCACAGAAGCAGAUUACAUAACAUAAAUACGGCACCCAUAAGUAAUAUAAAACAGAGGAAAGCAGAGGAAAGCACACAGAUUCGUACUAAAACAUGGAACACGGAACACGGAAUCAUAACAGGAAUAAAACCCCCACCGAGUAAUUCCCUACACUAGCGACCCAAACUGGCCCUAAUCCUCUGCCGUAAUUCGCGUCUUCCAGACCUUCCUAUCUAGGGUCAUGUCCUCGGUGAGCUGUAACUGUUCCAUGUCCCGCCUAAUCACCUCACCCCAGUACUUCUUCGGCCUACCCCUACCUCGCCUAAAACCAUCCAACGCUAGCCUCUCACACCUACGGACCGGGGCAUCCAUGCCCCUCCUCUUCACGUGUCCGAACCAUCUCAAUCGUGCUUCCCGCAUCUUGCACUCCACUGAAGUCACACCAACCUUCUCCCGGAUAUUCUCAUUCCGAACUCUAUCCCCUCUAGUCAGCCCACACAUCCAGCGCAACAUCCGCAUUUCUGCCACCUUCAUUUUUUGGAUGUGGGAGUUCUUAACUGGCCAACACUCCGCUCCAUACAACANNNNN